rnacentral:rRNA from 1 species
GAUGAACGCUAGCGACAGGCUUAACACAUGCAAGUCGAGGGGCAGCAUGAUUUGUAGCAAUACAGAUUGAUGGCGACCGGCGCACGGGUGAGUAACGCGUAUGCAACUUACCUAUCAGAGGGGGAUAGCCCGGCGAAAGUCGGAUUAAUACCCCAUAAAACAGGGGUCCCGCAUGGGAAUAUUUGUUAAAGAUUCAUCGCUGAUAGAUAGGCAUGCGUUCCAUUAGGCAGUUGGCGGGGUAACGGCCCACCAAACCGACGAUGGAUAGGGGUUCCUGAGAGGAAGGUCCCCCACAUUGGAACUGAGACACGGUCCAA